GACGAACGCUGGCGGCGCGCCUAACACAUGCAAGUCGAACGGAGUCAAGAGGAGCUUGCUUUUCUUGACUUAGUGGCGAACGGGUGAGUAACGCGUGAGUAACCUGCCCUGGAGUGGGGGACAACAGUUGGAAACGACUGCUAAUACCGCAUAAGCCCACGGAUCCGCAUGGAUCUGCGGGAAAAGGAUUUAUUCGCUUCAGGAUGGACUCGCGUCCAAUUAGCUAGUUGGUGAGGUAACGGCCCACCAAGGCGACGAUUGGUAGCCGGAUUGAGAGGUUGAACGGCCACAUUGGGACUGAGACACGGCCCAGACUCCUACGGGAGGCAGCAGUGGGGGAUAUUGCACAAUGGGGGAAACCCUGAUGCAGCGACGCCGCGUGGAGGAAGAAGGUUUUCGGAUUGUAAACUCCUGUCGUUAGGGACGAUAAUGACGGUACCUAACAAGAAAGCACCGGCUAACUACGUG
rnacentral:rRNA from 1 species